GUUUGAUCCUGGCUCAGAAUGAACGCUGGCGGCGUGCCUAACACAUGCAAGUCGAGCGAGAAAGCCCGCAAGGGUGAGUAAAGCGGCGAACGGGUGAGUAAGGCAUAGGAAUCUACCCUUUGGUGAAGGAUACCCCCGAGAAAUCGGGGCUAAUACUGCAUAAGUUGAUGAAUAAUUAAGAAAGAUGGCCUAAUUGCUAUCGCCGAAGGAUGAGCCUGUGUACUAUUAGCUAGUUGGUAGGGUAAAAGCCUACCAAGGCAAAGAUGGUUAGUCGGCCUGAGAGGGUGUACGACCACAAUGGAACUGAAACACGGUCCAUACUCCUACGGGAGGCAGCAGUGGGGAAUAUUGCACAAUGGGCGCAAGCCUGAUGCAGCGACGCCGCGUGGAGGAAGAAGGCUUUCGAGUUGUAAACUCCUGUUAAGUGGGAAGAAAGACUGUUGGUGAAUAAUCAACGGGGAUGACGGUACCACUAGAGAAAGCACCGGCAAACUUCGUGCCAGCAGCCGCGGUAAUACGAAGGGUGCAAGCGUUAUUCGGAGUUACUGGGCGUAAAGAGUAUGUAGGCGGUAUAUUAAGUUAGUUGUUAAAUUCCAUGGCUUAACUGUGGUGAUGCAGCUAAAACUGAUAGGCUAGAGCGCAGAAGAGAGGAGUGGAAUUCCCGGAGUAGCGGUAAAAUGCGUAGAUCUCGGGAGGAACACCGGUUGCGAAGGCGGCUUCUUGGUCUGUGGCUGACGCUAAAGUACGAAAGCGUGGGGAGCAAACAGGAUUAGAUACCCUGGUAGUCCACGCUGUAAACGAUGAUCACUGGAUGUGGGUUGGGCAUAGCCUAAUCUGUGUCGAAGCUAACGCGUUAAGUGAUCCGCCUGGGAAAUACGGUCGCAAGAUUAAAACUCAAAGGAAUUGACGGGGGUCCGCACAAGCGGUGGAACAUGUGGUUUAAUUCGACACUACGCGAGGAACCUUACCUGGGUUUGACAUGUAACUGCCACUGAUAGAAAUAUUGGGUUCUUGUAGAAAUACGAGAUGGUUACACAGGUGCUGCAUGGCUGUCGUCAGCUCGUGUCGUGAGAUGUUGGGUUAAGUCCUUUAACGAGCG
rnacentral:rRNA from 1 species